UGAGCUGAAUCAAAACCUAUGGUACAACCGAAUUAACUUGAAUCAAAAUUUUUAUCACAAAAAAUACAUAUAAAUCAGUGCUCAUAGUGAAACCUACGAAAGAAAAACGAACAAACCGAAACGAAUAAUAUACUCCCGGUAGUGAUUAGUGAUAACAAAAUGCUCCAGCGGCUAUGAUUGCCACACUAUUCAUCUUUUUUGCAUUUAUACGUGCGUUCCCUUGGCGGAGACGACGACCACGUCCACUACAACUCCCACCAGCCACACCGAACCAGGCGUUACCCCCAGCGUCAACAAACACCACCACAACAGAAUCCCACCCAACAACAAUUACAAUAGUGCCAACAACAUCAAGCGAAUACCGUGAAAAACCGCCGCCCACAACGCCACUUACAAACGGCAGCGCCGUGCCGAGCAUACAACACGCGGACGCCACCACCAGCAGCAACGGCACUUACGAUGCCGUCAGAACGAUAACAUCCGGCGAUGAGCUGGAGGAGACACCGCGACGCUCGUCCGUACUGCAGACGCGCCGCAAAUCUUCGAAAUCACUCAAAUACCACGAAGUAACUUUUAGUGGCAGCGUCGGUGGCGGCGAGAGUGAUGACAAUGAGCACGAAACACCGCAGACACGACGCAGCUCCCACCACAAAGCGCACCAUCAUCACCACCACCAACAUCAGCAACAGCAACAGCGACAUCUGUUGCAGCAUCAACAAACACUGAGCGCCAACUCGCGUCCCACCUCACCGGAUAGCCAUAGCCAUAGCUCGGCUUCACACUAUCGCUCGCUCAGCAGCGGUCGUACGCGGACGUCCACCGAUUAUGAAACUGCCAGCAGUGAGUUGUAUAACAGCGCUAGAUCGCAGUUGGACGCAACGGCUGACGCAAACACUAGUGGCGGCGGCAUUGAUGCAGCGCAUGCGUACGCUGUCAGCGGCACAAAUGGUCAAUUACCCGCAGCUACUAGCAGCGCACGCAGUUUGACAGGCAGUCGUCGUUUUCCACCGCGGCGCGCCGCCACACUUGCCACCGAUACGCUGGUGGGUACGGACGAUGAGGGCGCUGUUACCGACGCACACGAUGAGGAUGGCGAAGAGGCGGGCGACGAUGAUGAUCACGAUCCAGAUUCAUAUGAUCGUGAAACGGAGGAGUUCUACAGCAAUAUACAAGAUGCUGUAUGCCCGUCCGGUACGCGCAGUAAACGUUCAUCGCUCUUCUCGCGCUCCGAUUCGUCAGCUACCACAACUUCGUCUAGUGGUGGUGGCACAUUCACGGGCGGCAAGCGACGUUCCACCGCCUCGAUUUUAUCGUCGUCAAUGUGCUCCGAUGUCAUACCGAUCGAUAGACGCAGUUCGACGGCAACCGAGUAUAGUGUACGAUCAGCGUCGGGUCAGCGGCGUUCAAGCGGACGUAUACGGCGUUAUAUAUCACGCAUGACGAUCGCCGGCGCACGACGACGCACCACUGGCAGCUUCGAUGUAGAAAAUGGCCAAGGCGCUAGAUCACCGCUUGAAGGCGGCUCACCAAGCGCCGGCUUGGUACUGCAAAAUCUUCCACAACGUCGCGAAUCGUUCUUGUACCGCUCGGAUUCCGACUUUGAGAUGUCGCCAAAGUCGAUGUCACGCAACUCAAGCAUUGCAAGUGAAAGGUUUAAAGAGCAGGAGGCCUCUAUCCUGAUUGACCGAUCCCAUGGCGAGGAUCUUAUUGUGACACCAUUUGCCCAAAUUUUGGCCAGCUUACGUUCGGUGCGCAACAAUCUAUUAAGUCUGACAAAUGUACAAGCAUCCAACAAAUCCAGGCGCCCAACACAAUCGUCCAGCGUGGGACGUGCAUCCACAGCCGGCGUUCAAUUGGUCCAAGGCGAUGAAUCCUACACACGUUUGGCCACAGACACCAUUGAGGAGUUGGACUGGUGUUUGGACCAAUUGGAGACCAUACAGACACAUCGCAGUGUAUCGGACAUGGCAUCGCUCAAGUUCAAGCGUAUGCUCAAUAAAGAAUUAUCACACUUCAGCGAGUCGAGCAGAUCUGGCAAUCAAAUAUCGGAGUAUAUUUGUUCCACAUUUUUGGACAAGCAACAAGAAUUGGACCUGCCAUCGAUGCGCGGCGACGACAACCCCGACCAACACAAUAUGCUUACUCAGCAUCAACGCUCCCGUUCGCCACGUGGUCCGCCAAUGUCACAGAUAUCGGGCGUGAAACGACCACUCUCCCAUACGAACUCUUUCACCGGCGAACGUCUGCCCACAUUCGGUGUGGAAACGGUGCAUGAGAAUGCGCUCGGCACACUGCUCGGCGACGUCGACACGUGGGGCAUUGACAUAUUCAAAAUUGGCGAUCUGAGCGCCAAUCGUCCGCUCACCUGUGUGGCAUACACCAUAUUUCAGAGUAGAGAACUACUGACCAGUCUUAUGAUACCACCGAAAACUUUUAUUAAUUUUAUGACUACUCUGGAGGAUCAUUAUGUUAAAGACAAUCCGUUUCACAAUUCACUGCAUGCGGCUGAUGUGACACAAAGUACAAAUGUACUGCUGAAUACACCGGCGCUGGAGGGCGUAUUCACAUCGUUGGAAGUGGGCGGAGCAUUGUUUGCUGCUUGUAUACACGAUGUUGAUCAUCCUGGUUUAACGAAUCAAUUUUUAGUUAAUUCAAGUUCCGAAUUAGCCUUAAUGUAUAAUGACGAAUCUGUUUUGGAAAAUCAUCAUUUAGCAGUUGCCUUUAAAUUAUUACAAAAUCAAGGAUGUGAUAUAUUCUGUAAUAUGCAAAAGAAACAACGCCAAACAUUAAGGAAAAUGGUUAUCGAUAUUGUCCUCUCAACAGACAUGUCAAAACACAUGAGCUUGCUGGCCGAUUUAAAGACUAUGGUCGAGACGAAAAAGGUCGCCGGCUCCGGUGUGCUAUUGCUGGACAACUACACCGAUCGCAUACAGGUGCUCGAAAAUCUGGUACAUUGUGCCGAUUUAAGUAAUCCAACCAAACCGUUGCCAUUGUACAAACGCUGGGUCAGCCUACUUAUGGAGGAGUUCUUUUUGCAGGGCGAUAAAGAACGUGAAUCGGGCAUGGACAUUAGUCCCAUGUGUGAUCGUCAUAAUGCCACAAUCGAAAAAUCGCAGGUCGGAUUUAUCGAUUAUAUUGUGCAUCCAUUGUGGGAGACAUGGGCCGAUCUGGUGCAUCCCGAUGCACAGGAUAUACUUGAUACGCUUGAAGAGAAUAGAGACUAUUAUCAGAGCAUGAUACCACCAUCACCACCACCAUCGGCGGCCGACGAUCAACCCUCCGACGAUAAGAUACGAUUUCAAGUGAGUUGCUGAGAAAAUAACUAGAAAAAAAUGUAGAAAAAUAAUAUACAAGUAGUCACACUAACACAACAAUGGCCGCAGAUAGAAACAGUAGUAACACUUGAAGAGUCCGAUCAAGAGAAUCUAGCCGAACUGGAAGAGUGUGAUGAGAGUGAGCAUAACAAACCGGAAGCAGCAACAGUGACGACGGCAGCGGGUGAGCACAAGCCGUCGGGGAGUGAGAAUCAAAGCC
rnacentral:misc_RNA from 1 species